rnacentral:sRNA from 1 species
UGUGUAAACAGAAGUAAGCAGGAGGUGUUGAUGACUACAGAGGAAACCUGGAUUAGUUUUUAAGUUGUGAUUAGACCGCCAAGACAAGUGAUGAAGUGCCAACUUGAUUCUACCCUUAAAAAAAAGCAUACAAGAACACAAGGGAGGCUAUUGACAUUGCUGCUCAUCAUGGGUCUAGUUGUAGCAGAAACAAAGACGCAAGACGAUAAGAAAUGUCAUCACCAGUUAAUUCAUAGAAUCAUGAAGACAACCACACCAACAACCACUUUCAUGUCAUUAAGGCCAACCCAAGGCUCUGAGAGAAGAACCAAGAGCAGAAGAAG